rnacentral:rRNA from 1 species
UACAGAGGGUGCAAGCGUUGUUCGGAAUCAUUGGGCGUAAAGCGCGUGUAGGCGGCCUUUUAAGUCUGGUGUGAAAUCCCGGGGCUCAACCCCGGAAGUGCACUGGAUACUGGAUGGCUAGAGGACGAGAGAGGAGAGUGGAAUUCAUGGUGUAGGGGUGAAAUCCGUAGAUAUCAUGAGGAACAUCUGAGGCGAAGGCGACUCUCUGGCUCGUUUCUGACGCUGAGACGCGAAAGCGUGGGGAGCAAACAGG